AUUGAACGCUGGCGGCAGGCCUAACACAUGCAAGUCGAACGAGUCGCGGACUGGUGUGUAAUGUCUGUGAAACUGCCUGCUGGAGGUGGAUAACUACUGUAAACGGUAGCUAAUACCGCCUACCAUCGUAUGUUCCCAGAUGGGCUUAGCUAGUAGGUGGGGUAAAGGCUCACCUAGGCGACGAUCCCUAGCUGGUCUGAGAGGAUGACCAGCCACACUGGAACUGAGACACGGUCCAGACUCCUACGGGAGGCAGCAGUGGGGAAUAUUGCACAAUGGGCGCAAGCCUGAUGCAGCCAUGCCGCGUGUAUGAAGAAGGCCUUCGGGUUGUAAAGUACUUUCAGCGGGGAGGCGUUACCCGCAGAAGAAGCACCGGCUAACUCCGUGCCAGCAGCCGCGGUAAUAC
rnacentral:rRNA from 1 species